ACAUCCCUAGCCUGGCGCAUGUGCUGCAUUUGGUGGUGUAGAAAUUACUGAAAAACUACCCAGAUAUAUCAAAGCUCGCCUGUCUGCGCUGCAGCGUAACUUUGGCCUUCCCACUCACCGCCUCAUAUGCAAUGUGCCCACAAGGUGGAACUCCACCUUGCACAUGCUGGAGAGACUGUGCGAGCAGUUUCAGAUGCAGCACGCACGGGUCAGUCGCUCUGCGUAACAGCACCACUUCACCAAUGAGUGGGCCUCCAUGCGAGACCUGUGUGCCAUGUUGCGCUGUUUCGAGUACUCCACCAACAUGGCCCGUGCCGAUGAUGCCGUUCUCAGCCUUGCUAUCCUGC